rnacentral:rRNA from 1 species
UAGGGAAUAUUGGUCAAUGGGCGCAAGCCUGAACCAGCCAUGCCGCGUGAGUGAUGAAGGCCUUCGGGUCGUAAAACUCUUUUCUGCGGAAAGAACAUCCGGGCGAGGAAAUGCGCCCGGCCUGACGGUACCGCAGGAAUAAGCAACGGCUAACUCCGUGCCAGCAGCCGCGGUAAUACGGAGGUUGCAAGCGUUGUUCGGAAUAACUGGGCGUAAAGGGAGCGCAGGCGGUUGGGUAAGUCCAAAGUGAAAGCCCGGGGCUUAACCUCGGAAGUGCUUUGGAUACUGCCCGGCUCGAGUUCGUGAGAGGAAAGCGGAAUUCCAGGUGUAGCGGUGAAAUGCGUAGAUAUCUGGAGGAACACCGGUGGCGAAAGCGGCUUUCUGGCGCGAUACUGACGCUGAGGCUCGAAAGCGUGGGGAGCGAACGGG